CGUACAUGAUGAGUUAAACAUUCACCAUCUUUCGACUGUGAUAAUGAUGAUGAUAUAUCAUUUACUUACUGAUGUUAUUU